rnacentral:rRNA from 1 species
CAGCCGCCGCGGUAAUACCAGCCCCGCGAGUGGUCGGGACGGUUAUUGGGCCUAAAGCGCCCGUAGCCGGCCCGGCAAGUCCCUCCUUAAAGCCUCGGGCCCAACCCGAGGACGGGGGGGAUACUGCCGGGCUAGGGGGCGGGAGAGGCCGGCGGUACUCCCGGGGUAGGGGCGAAAUCCGUUAAUCCCGGGAGGACCACCAGUGGCGAAGGCGGCCGGCUGGAACGCGCCCGACGGGGAGGGGCGAAAGCCGGGGGAGCGAACCGGAUUAGAUACCCGGGUAGUCCCGGCUGUAAACGAUGCGGGCUAGCUGUUGGGCGGGCUUAGAGCCCGCCCAGUGGCGCAGGGAAGCCGUUAAGUCCGCCGCCUGGGGAGUACGGCCGCAAGGUUGAAACUUAAAGGAAUUGGCGGG